GCUCGCCUCCAUUCUCAUUAAUUAGGGCUCAUUGCUUGACAAAGCAGGAGGAGGGAGACAGAACCAGAUCUGCGGCGCCUCUUUCAGAAAUUUGGGUUUCAGGCGGCGGCGAUGUGGCUACCUAGUCAUUAGGCGAUGUGGCUGCCUAGUCAUCAAUUUAUUUUGACAGAUGGAAUGAAUUAUGCCACGUUGGAUCGGAGCUCCAUCGGAGAUCGCCGAAAAA
rnacentral:lncRNA from 1 species